rnacentral:RNase_P_RNA from 1 species
CGAGCGGGCCGGACGACCGCGGGCCCUACCAGGCAUGAGGAAAGUCCGGGCUUCAAAGGGCAGGAUGCCAGCUAACGGCUGGACGGGGCAACUCGAUGGAAAGUGCCACAGAAAAGAAGACUCCCCCGCCGCUGCGGUGACGGGAGAAAAGCUGAAACGGUGCGGUAAGAGCGCACCAGCGGCGCGGUAACGCGUCGGCUUGGUAAACCCCAUCCGAAGCAAGCGCAAAUAGGAACGCCAUACGGCCGCCCUUCCGUGCGUUCGGGUUGCGUGCUAGAGGCCUGUGGCGACACAGGCAGUAGAUAGAUGGUCGUCUUCAAAGACAGAACCCGGCUUACAGGCCCGCUCUUCAU